CGAGUUCCUUCCCGUGAAAGGAUCCCCUUUAUCAGCGGCCUCUCCUUACAAGCAGAAAACGAUUCUCUCCACCACUCAGGCACUCACUCCUAUAAAACUGGUAAAGAGAGCGACGAACACAAAAGCCGGCAUCGCGGAUCACUGAUCCGUCAUGGAUUCAGCAUCCGGUGCCGGAGCAUCGCCACCCGACCCGCACAGCGUCCUAGUAGUCCCCACAACCUCGAUGACCCCUGAAACCAUUCCAGGACCGUCGUCGCAGCCGCCGCCGUCAGCAGCCGCAUCACAACCUAGCAGGUACGAGUCGCAGAAGCGGAGAGACUGGAACUCCUUCUUGCAGUACCUCAAGAACCACAAGCCUCCGCUAACACUGGCCCGAUGCAGCGGGGCCCACGUGCUGGAGUUCCUCAAGUACUUGGACCAGUUCGGCAAGACCAAGGUCCACGUCAACGGCUGCCCCUUCUUCGGCAGCCCCAACCCGCCUGGCCCCUGCGCCUGCCCUCUCAAGCAGGCCUGGGGCAGCCUCGACGCCCUCAUUGGUCGCCUCCGGGCUGCCUUCGAGGAGAACGGCGGGCGGCCCGAGUCAAACCCUUUCGCCGCGAGGGCGGUCCGGAUAUACUUGAGGGAGGUCAGGGAAGGCCAGGCCAAGGCUAGAGGGAUUCCCUAUGAGAAGAAGAAGCGGAAACGGCCCGCAGUUGCUGCAGUGGCAGUGGCGAAGGUCACGGCGGGGGGUGAUCAGGUAGGAAGUAGUGGAGGGAGAAGCAAAAUGACCAACAACAAUUCAGUGGCCGAUGAUCAUGGUGGUGCUGGUGCUGGUGCGAUAUUAUGACUUGUUAGCGUUAGGGGAUGGCACCUGUGGAUCAUUUGGCAUCGCUCCAAGAUUAGAGUAGUGCUGCGGAUCAUUCCUUCAGUAAGAUUAAUUACCCUUUUACUUCGGAGGUCAGAUCACAGUCCAAUAGUCUUGUUAGUGUCCGAUGCAUUUAGAUCCGUUGAACAAUCCAACUUGAAAAACAUGUAAGGCAAGUAAGUUCUAACGUUUCAUCUUCCAAGGCACCAACACGGGUUAAGUCGUGCCAGUUCAGCCAUCCGUCAUCGAUCUGGUUUUGCUUGAUCUUUUCAUGAGACGUAGUUGAACAGGUGACCAAGAACCCUAACGCUGAAUUUUGGCGUCUCUCGUUACUUACUCUCUCUCUCUAUGAGACCGAUGAAUCCACACUUCUGUUAUGGUACUAAGAUAGAUGAAAACGCUCGCUAUCUACGAGGACAACCACAACCUAAAUUAACUCUUGUCCUGUUUGCUGUCUUGUUUGAAAAGUAGAAACCAAGACGCUUGUAUAAAUGACCAGUAGCCUAUCAUUGCCUCCAAGAUUGCGCAGUGGAUGUUAUCCUACAUUUUAUUCUAAUUUGCUCUUCCAAGAAGCCGCUCCCAUCAGUCACUCCCCAGCAAUACGUAAAACGAGGUUGUCGAUAUGAUCGGCUUCUCGAGUGAAGUCUCCUAUCCAAUUGCAUCAGAUCACACAGCCUACCCUGACUAUGUUACCGUGUUGAUGUCACUCUGGCAGUAACAUUCUCUCUAGUUUAAUCUUUGUCUCGGCAUCGGGUCGCUCACGCUCUUCUGUCCCUUUUGAUGUCAACGAAAGUGUAUAAUCGGUCGCGAAUGCGACUUCUUCUGUCUGCUUAACAAUGCUGCUCUUCCUUUCGUGUUCCAACUCCCCUAAUAUUUCAUUGGCCUCUUACUCAUUUAAAACCUUCCAAUGAUGUGAGUUCUUUAUAAUAUCUUCUGCUCUCCCUCCCUCUUUCUAGUGCAUUUGUCGGUCUCCCGA